AACCGCAAGGAGGAGCUAAAGAAUGAAAUUCCUCCAGAACCUGAGAAUGGUCAUGCUGGAAAUCUGUUUGUGUUGUUCUAAAACACCUAAUGGAACAAGAAUAGAGAGGCUGUUUUUGAAGUCUCGGUCUUUAAAAUAUCUGUAUUAUUUCACAUUCUGUCAUGAAGAUUGUCCACAUUGUUACAAACUUCCCGAGAAAGACAUUACCAUGUGAACCAACAAGUGAAUAUCCUGAACCAAUCACAUUUGAAGAAGCUGGAUUAGGAAAGAAUGAAAUGCUUUUUGUCCAAGAUAAUGAAUCUUGAAUGGCAGAUAAUAUGAUAUUCUGUGAUAUUAGAACACAAUGCAAUGUUCAUGCUUGAAGAUACUUCUUCUAAGUGUAAAAAAUGUGUGAAUUCAAGAUCUUUUUAUAUGAAAGAUGAUAUUGUAAGGGGGGAUAUUGUCCAUCUGUCUGUCCAUUUUCCUGUUGUGAUCAAUAUCUUACAACCAGUUGGUCAGAUUGUUAUUUGAAAUUAGACGGAAUUUUGUUUAAAAUGCCACCAUGAUCCACCAAAUUGUUGAGGAGUUAUUGACCUUUGUUAUUUAAAAAUAGAAGGUUUGACACUGCAUAAUUUCAGUUUGGAGCAAUUUUGUGUUUUCAACUUACAAUAAUAUCAUUAAUGAUAAUCUUUUCUAUUUUAAACUUAUUAGUAUUUGGUCAAAUUUCUAGUGAUUAAACUGAAUGAUAUUUUGUCGAAUUUGUAGUUAUCUUUAUAUUUUAAACUGUUUGAUGUUUUGUCAAAUUUUUAUUAAUCUUUAUAUUUGAAAACAAAUGAUAUUUGGUCAAAUUUCUGAUCUUUAGUUUCUUUUUAAAAGCUUAUUUUUCCUGAAGAGAAUUGUGUAACGUUAUAGUUUGGAGAAGUGACUCCUUUAAAAAAAAAUACAAGUUUAAUUAUUUGUUUAAUUUGUAACUACUUGUUUAGCAUUGCCAAAUAAAUCAGGUUGGAUUUUCAUUCCUAGUCAUGGGAUUCAUUGAUUUGGAAAUGUAUCAUUUUUAUCUCAAAAUGACAUUUAUUGUGUAGGAUAACGGUAAUUAGCCGGUAAUUAGUCAACAAUACAUAGGCGGAUAUAUUUAAUAUAAUGAGCUGUCACCGGACACUAUGCUUAAUUUAGUUAAUUGAUGGGCAUGUCAUCACUUAAACGGGGAUUUGUACCUAUAUCGUGCAAACAUAAUUGUUUAUUUAAUUGUUAGCUGUCCAUUAAUGCAUAUAUACUUUAUGAAUUGUAAAGUUAUUAAGUCUAAGGCGUAUAUUAUUUUAGUAUUUAAGGUGAGCGAAAUAUUAUAUUAUUCAGUGUAGUUUUUGAUGUUAAAACAGACUCACUCACUUAGGUUAAAUUAUGCUAAAUACGCAAUUGACAUUGAUUCUUAUUACUUUACGUAUUUGUAUAAGAAUUGUGAAAUUAUUAAAGACAUUGGUUAAGCAAUUGUUUUAUCUUAUAGAAUAACAUUUUUAUGCCCCCGCCAUGUAAUGGCCGGGGCAUAUAGUGUUACCCUGUUCCGUCAUUCCGUCCUUCCGUCCUUCCAUCCUUCCGUCAUUCUGUCAUUCCAUCAUCAUCAGUUUCCGUUCAUUAUCUUAAGAACGGUUGCACACAUUCAACUCAAAUUUGACAUAGGGAUAUGUCAUGAGAAAAUACAGGUCAAGUUCGAAUUUGGUCACGGUUUGAUGAUUUUUGGCAGAGUUAUGCCCCUUUUACUUUGAAAAUAAUAUGAAAUUUCAGUUUCCUUUCAUUAUCUCCCCAACAGUACAACACAUUCAACUCAAACUUGACAUAUGGAUAUGUCAUGAGAAAAUACAGGUCAAGUUCAAAUUUGGUCAUGGUUCGAUGAUUUUUGGCAGAGUUAUGCCCCUUUUACUUUGUAAAUAAUAUAAAAUUUUCAGUUUCCGUUCAUUAUCUCCCCAAUGGUACAACACAUUCAACUCAAAUUUGACAUAUGGAUAUGUUUUUGGAAUGCCCAGGCCAAGUUCGAAUUUGGUCAUGGUUCAAUGAUUUUUGGCAGAGUAAUGCCCCUUUCACUUUGAAAAUAAUAUGAAAUUUACAGUUUCUGUUCAUUAUUUACCCAACAGUGUUACAUAUUCAACUUAAUUUUGACAUAUGGAUAUGUCAAAGGAAUGGGCAGGUCAAGUUGGAAUUUGGUCAUGGUUUGAUGAUUUUUUGGCAGAGUUAUGUCCCUUUCUUUUUGAAAAUGAUAUAGAUACAUCUAAGGAAUAAGCAGUUUAAGUUUGAAUUUGGUUGUGGUUCAAUGAUUAUAAACAAACUUAUCUUUCCUGAAUGUUGGAAAAAUUUUGAACUUUCAGUUUCAGCACUCAUACUUUUAGCCAUUAUUUUGGCUACAAAUAUGCAAUAUGCUAUUUUUAAAAGGUUAAGACUGAAUAAUUUCAGUGCCUUGAACAUUGUAUGAAAAUGGUUAGUGUUAACAUUGAAAAGUUUUGAGGGCUUUGAACUUAAAAUGAAAAAAAUAAUUAAUGCACCAUCUGAAAUUUUGGCUGCAUGCGGGGGCAUCCGUGGCAUGAUGACACAUUUCUAGUUAUUAUAUGAUCUAAAUAAAGCUGCAAUCUCAUUGGUCCAAGCAGUAGUCAACAGAACUUUUUAUAAAAUCAUAUUUACUGGGUGUAGUAUCAUAUUCACUGGCUGAAUUCGAUUUUCCCAGUCUAAAAAUAUACAAUGAUCAUACACCGUAGACUGUUAAUUACGCGUGUUAAUUAAAAAAUAGUUGUUGCUUUUUUUUCUUUAUGGCAUAUUUCUCGAUUAAAAUAUCAAUACUUUACUAUUAUACUUAAGGGUUACACCGCAAUAAUGAGUAUAAACUUGAAUUAUUUUUGUAUGCGCAGCGUUCGCGUAGAAGUUGCACGCCUAACACGUGCGUCUUUCUUCCCGCGCUUCAACGAGGCAAAAUUUGUACAUGUAUAAUUAUAAGGUUGCACUUUUGUGAUUUUGUUAAUUUCUUAGCCUAUUCAUAUAAUAAAACAAUUAUUGACUAGUAAACCAUUGCAUAUGGUGUGAUAUUCACCGGCAGAAAGUCAUAUUGACCUCUGCUAUCGCCUCGGUCAAUAUGUCAUCUGCCGGUGAAUAUCACAUAUUAUUAUAUAAUCUAUAAAUAGCUUUGAAAUGCCUUUCCCUGAUUGGCUAACAAGCAACUUUUUGUAAAAAAUAACAGGUCAAUAUCAGAGUAUAUUCACUGUUUUUUUUCCUAAAAAUAGAUUUUCAGAGUAUAUUCACCGGUUUUUCUUCUAAAAAUAGAUUUUCUGGAAAUCCCUAAAAGAAGCAAGACUUUGACGUGACGUCAUGCCAAGUUUGUUGUUAUUAUUCUGAAAAAACAUUGAGUUGGGUGUACACAAGAGUCAAAUUAGUCUAUAUUAGUUACCGUUUUGCAUUUUUAAGAACAAUAGGGAUCAGCAUGCCAAUAGAAAGGGCCAAAUUAUGGAAACAGUAGACAAGCUGAAAAAUAAUGAUUUCCAUCAUAUGCAAUGGCAGAUCUAUGUGAUAAGCCAUAUAAAAGCUAUUUAUAAAUUAUAUAAUAAAACAUAUAUGGACUUUUUAGCUGUUGAAUAUGAUGUGAUAUGUACUGAAAAAUUAAUAUUGACCUCGGCUAUCGCCUCGGUCAAUAUUAAUUUUUUCAGUACAUAUCACAUCAUAUUCAACAGCUAAAAAGUCCAUAUUUGUAUAAUAUUCAAUGGCUCACUAGUCAAUAAUUGUACAAUAUUAAUUAAAUAAAUACAUAUAUCUGACGUUUAUAAACUUGAUAUUGUGUUGACUUAUUCAUAUUGAGUUAUUCAGAUCUGAGCGUUACACUACAAUUGUAAGAGCUAUAUUGCUUGUCUUUAUAAAAUAAAUAUAUCAAACUGA